CACGUACUGUGCAAACGUUAUUCGGAAUCACUGGGCUUAAAGGGUGCGUAGGCGGCCUCCCAAGUCGGAUGUGAAAGGCAACGGCUCAACCGUUGCACUGCGUUCGAAACUGUGAGGCUUGAGUCAGCUAGGGGUGUGUGGAACUGCCAGUGGAGCGGUGAAAUGUGUUGAGAUUGGCAGGAACGCCGGUGGCGAAAGCGACACACUGGGGCUGGUCUGACGCUGAGGCACGAAAGCUAGGGGAGCGAACGGG
rnacentral:rRNA from 1 species